UACGGAGGGUGCCAGCGUUGUCCGGAUUUAUUGGGUUUAAAGGGUACGUAGGCGGGCCUUUAAGUCAGUGGUGAAAGCCCAUAGCUCAACUAUGGAAAUGCCAUUGAUACUGGAGGUCUUGAGUUCAGUUGAGGUAAGCGGAAUUUAUGGUGUAGCGGUGAAAUGCAUAGAUACCAUAAAGAACACCGAUUGCGAAGGCAGCUUACUGGGCUUGAACUGACGCUGAGGUACGAAAGCGUGGGGAGCGAACAGG
rnacentral:rRNA from 1 species